rnacentral:rRNA from 2 species
GGUCUGAGAGGAUGAUCAGUCACACCGGAACUGAGACACGGUCCGGACUCCUACGGGAGGCAGCAGUGGGGAAUAUUGGACAAUGGGGGCAACCCUGAUCCAGCCAUGCCGCGUGUGUGAAGAAGGCCUUUUGGUUGUAAAGCACUUUAAGCAGGGAGGAGAGGCUAAUGGUUAAUACCCAUUAGAUUAGACGUUACCUGCAGAAUAAGCACCGGCUAACUCUGUGCCAGCAGCCGCGGUAAUACAGAGGGUGCGAGCGUUAAUCGGAAUUACUGGGCGUAAAGCGAGUGUAGGUGGCUCAUUAAGUCACAUGUGAAAUCCCCGGGCUUAACCUGGGAACUGCAUGUGAUACUG